AUUGAACGCUGGCGGCAUGCUUUACACAUGCAAAUCGAACGGUAACAGGUCUUCGGACGCUGACGAGUGGCGAACGGGUGAGUAAUACAUCGGAACGUGCCUAGUAGUGGGGGAUAACUACUCGAAAGAGUAGCUAAUACCGCAUGAGAUCUACGGAUGAAAGCAGGGGACCUUCGGGCCUUGUGCUACUAGAGCGGCUGAUGGCAGAUUAGGUAGUUGGUGGGGUAAAGGCUUACCAAGCCUGCGAUCUGUAGCUGGUCUGAGAGGACGACCAGCCACACUGGGACUGAGACACGGCCCAGACUCCUACGGGAGGCAGCAGUGGGGAAUUUUGGACAAUGGGCGAAAGCCUGAUCCAGCAAUGCCGCGUGCAGGAUGAAGGCCCUCGGGUUGUAAACUGCUUUUGUACGGAACGAAAAGCCUGGGGCUAAUAUCCCCGGGUCAUGACGGUACCGUAAGAAUAAGGACCGGCUAACUACGUGCCAGCAGCCGCGGUAA
rnacentral:rRNA from 1 species